UAGGGAAUCUUCGGCAAUGGGGGCAACCCUGACCGAGCAACGCCGCGUGAGUGAAGAAGGUUUUCGGAUCGUAAAGCUCUGUUGUAAGUCAAGAACGAGUGUGAGAGUGGAAAGUUCACACUGUGACGGUAGCUUACCAGAAAGGGACGGCUAACUACGUGCCAGCAGCCGCGGUAAUACGUAGGUCCCGAGCGUUGUCCGGAUUUAUUGGGCGUAAAGCGAGCGCAGGCGGUUUGAUAAGUCUGAAGUUAAAGGCUGUGGCUCAACCAUAGUUCGCUUUGGAAACUGUCAAACUUGAGUGCAGAAGGGGAGAGUGGAAUUCCAUGUGUAGCGGUGAAAUGCGUAGAUAUAUGGAGGAACACCGGUGGCGAAAGCGGCUCUCUGGUCUGUAACUGACGCUGAGGCUCGAAAGCGUGGGGAGCGAACAGGAUUAGAUACCCUGGUAGUCCACGCCGUAAACGAUGAGUGCUAGGUGUUGGAGGGUUUCCGCCCUUCAGUGCCGCAGCUAACGCAAUAAGCAUUCCGCCUGGGGAGUACGACCGCAAGGUUG
rnacentral:rRNA from 1 species